rnacentral:rRNA from 1 species
UACGGAGAGUGCAAGCGUUGCUCGGAAUCACUGGGCGUAAAGGGCGUGUAGGCGGUCCGCUAAGUCUGAUGUGAAAGCCCGGGGCUCACCCCCGGAAGGGCAUUGGAAACUGGCGGACUCGAGUCCCGGAGAGGAAGGUGGAAUUCCUGGUGUAGCGGUGAAAUGCGUAGAUAUCAGGAGGAAUACCGGUGGCGAAGGAGGCCUUCGGGACGGUGACUGACGAUGAGACGAGAAAGCGUGGGGAGCAAACAGG